CCUACGGGUGGCAGCAGUGGGGAAUAUUGCACAAUGGGGGAAACCCUGAUGCAGCGACGCCGCGUGAGUGAAGAAGGAAUUCGUUAUGUAAAGCCCUAUUAGCAGGGAAGAAAAUGACGGUACCUGAGUAAGAAGCACCGGCUAACUACGUGCCAGGAGCCGCGGUAAUACGGAGGGGGCAAGCGUUAUCCGGAUUUACUGGGUGUAAAGGGGGCGUAGACGGGAGUGCAAGUCUGGAGUGAAAGGCGGGGGCUCAACCCCCGGACGGCUCUGGAAACUGUGCGGCUGGAGUGCAGGAGAGGUAAGUGGAAUUCCAGGUGUAGGAGUGAAAUCCGUAGAUAUCUGGAGGAACAUCAGUGGCGAAGGCGACUAUCUGGCACAUAACUGACGCUGAGGAGCGAAAGCGUGGGUAGCGAACAGGAUUAGAUACCCCUGUAGUC
rnacentral:rRNA from 1 species